rnacentral:siRNA from 1 species
GUAACGUCUUGCCAAACCCGUCCC